GACGUAGGGGGCCAGCGUUGUUCGGAAUUACUGGGUGUAAAGGGUUCGUAGGCGGUGCGGCAAGUUGGGAGUGAAAUCUCUGGGCUUAACCCAGAGGCUGCUUCCAAAACUGCUGUGCUUGAGUGUGGGAGAGGCGCGUGGAAUUGCAGGUGUAGCGGUGAAAUGUGUUGAUAUCGGAAGGAACGCCGGUGGCGAAAGCGACACACUGGAUCUUGUCUGACGCUGAGGCACGAAAGCCAGGGGAGCGAACGGG
rnacentral:rRNA from 1 species